AUGCAGCCAUGCCGCGUGUGUGAAGAAGGCUCUAGGGUUGUAAAGCACUUUCAGCGAGGAGGAAAGGUUGCUGGUUAAUACCCAGCGGCUGUGACGUUACUCGCAGAAGAAGCACCGGCUAACUCCGUGCCAGCAGCCGCGGUAAUACGGAGGGUGCGAGCGUUAAUCGGAAUUACUGGGCGUAAAGCGUGCGUAGGCGGCCAUGUAAGUUGGAUGUGAAAGCCCCGGGCUCAACCUGGGAACUGCAUCCAAAACUGGGUGGCUAGAGUACGGGAGAGGAGUGUGGAAUUUCCUGUGUAGCGGUGAAAUGCGUAGAUAUAGGAAGGAACACCAGUGGCGAAGGCGACACUCUGGCCUGAUACUGACGCUGAGGUACGAAAGCGUGGGGAGCAAACAGGAUUAGCAUACCCUGGUAGUCCACGCCGUAAACGAUGUCUACUAGUUGUCGGAAGUCUUGUACUUUGGGUAACGCAGCUAACGCGAUAAG
rnacentral:rRNA from 1 species